GCAAGUCGAGGGGUAACAUUGGUGCUUGCAUCAGAUGACGACCGGCGAACGGGUGCGUAACGUGUAUGCAAUCUACCUUAUACUGAGGAAUAGCCCAGAGAAAUUUGGAUUAAUGCUUCAUAGUAUACAUUUAUCGCAUGGUAUAUGUAUUAAAGAUUACGGUAUAAGAUGAGCAUGCGUCCUAUUAGCUAGAUGGUGUGGUAACGGCACACCAUGGCAACGAUGGGUAGGGGGCCUGAGAGGGUGGUC
rnacentral:rRNA from 1 species